AAAUAGUAACCUGUUGCAAAGUGAGCCAAUGCAAAUAAGCAGCCAACUCAGGAACCUGGAACACAGUUAAGACCAAGCGAGGCACACACUCGCAUCUCUUGAACGUCUCUUCAUAAAAGAUGGCCGACCCAUUGAGGAAUAUGCUGGGAAGUUCCUGGGACUGGCUUCAACAGUUUGUUCAGAGGAUGCUGUGUUGAUGGACAUUUUUCAUAGAGGUUUGGAUGAACCGUUAUACUCCAAUAUGCCAUCGGAUGUGAAUAGUCUGUCCCAGUGAAGCCCGAUCCAGAGUCCACAUUUGCCGUCGAAUCCACUCCAGCCCCAGAGUCCAGUCACAAACCUGUUCCAGUUCCUGAGUCUACAGUCCAGUGUCUAUUUCUGCCCCUGACCACAGCCCAGUGAUUGCUCCAGCCUUUGAAGACUGUACAAAGAAGGCUCUAUUUGUUCAUGUUACCGAGGUCAUCCUCUUCUGCCAUUGUGACAGUUGUUUGU